UGACAUCUCUGAUGGUCCUGUGAAAGCGAACACCCAGUCACCCCUCGCAGUAGCCAGUCAUAGCUCUGUGAUCUUGGGGAAGUUACUGAACAUCUCUAGGCCUCUACUGUUCCUUCAGAAAAUGGAGUGUUUACUAAUACGCUCACUUUCCAACCUCUACAUGACCAUGAAAGGAUAAUCCACAGGACCUCACGUGGGGGUGAGCGGAGGCUUAUCUCAGCUGCCCGGCUCUCGGAGGCCUUGAAAUGAAAGCCUGCGCUUCUUCAGUUCCCCAGGUGCAGUAACUAUCCUUACAGAGAACGUCUUCAAAUUCCACUCUGUGCUGCAGCCUAGGCUGGGCCCCAGCCAACCGCAGUGGAGCAGAGAGCUUGUGCUAAUGAGGACAGGACCCACUCGGCAGCCAAGCCCUUUGUGUCCUUCAGGGCCACAGGGAGAGCUGCGGUCCAUGGGUCCGGUUAGAAACUCUUUAGUCCUCCACAAACUUCUCUCAAUCCUAUAGAGAGUCUAGUGAGGUAUGCAAGAAAGAAGUAGGGGAGCAUGCAACAUCCUGAUCUUAUUUGUUUGUUUGUUUGUG
rnacentral:lncRNA from 1 species